rnacentral:rRNA from 1 species
GUGUCAGCAGCCGCGGUAAUACAGAGGGUGCAAGCGUUGUUCGGAAUUAUUGGGCGUAAAGCGCGUGUAGGCGGCUUUGCAAGUCGGGUGUGAAAGCCCUCAGCUUAACUGAGGAAGUGCGCCCGAAACUGCAGAGCUUGAGUGCCUGAGAGGGUGGCGGAAUUCCGCAAGUAGAGGUGAAAUUCGUAGAUAUGCGGAGGAACACCGGUGGCGAAGGCGGCCACCUGGCGGGUCACUGACGCUGAGACGCGAAAGCGUGGGGAGCAAACAGGAUUAGAAACCCGCGUAGUCC